rnacentral:rRNA from 1 species
GGCGNCAUNGCNUUACACAUGAAAGUCGAACGGUAACAGGGUGCUUGCACCGCUGACGAGUGGCGAACGGGUGAGUAAUGCGUCGGAACGUGCCGAGUAGUGGGGGAUAACGCAGCGAAAGUUGUGCUAAUACCGCAUACGUACUGAGGUAGAAAGUGGGGGACCUUCGGGCCUCACGCUAUUCGAGCGGCCGACGUCUGAUUAGCUAGUAGGUGAGGUAAAGGCUCACCUAGGCGACGAUCAGUAGCGGGUCUGAGAGGAUGAUCCGCCACACUGGGACUGAGACACGGCCCAGACUCCUACGGGAGGCAGCAGUGGGGAAUUUUGGACAAUGGGCGAAAGCCUGAUCCAGCCAUGCCGCGUGUCUGAAGAAGGCCUUCGGGUUGUAAAGGACUUUUGUCAGGGAGGAAAUCCCUAGCGUUAAUACCGCUGGGGGAUGACAGUACCUGAAGAAUAAGCACCGGCUAACUACGUGCCAGCAGCCGCGGU